AACGAACGCUGGCGGCAUGCCUAACACAUGCCAGUCGAACGAGACCUUCGGGUCUAGUGGCGCACGGGUGCGUAACGCGUGGGAACCUGCCCUUAGGUUCGGAAUAACUCCCCGAAAGGGGUGCUAAUACCGGAUAAUGUCUUCGGACCAAAGAUUUAUCGCCUUUGGAUGGGUCCGCGUUGGAUUAGCUAGUUGGUAGGGUAAAAGCCUACCAAGGCGACGAUCCAUAGCUGGUCUGAGAGGAUGAUCAGCCACACUGGGACUGAGACACGGCCCAGACUCCUACGGGAGGCAGCAGUGGGGAAUAUUGGACAAUGGGCGAAAGCCUGAUCCAGCAAUGCCGCGUGAGUGAUGAAGGCCUUAGGGUUGUAAAGCUCUUUUACCCGGGAUGAUAAUGACAGUACCGGGAGAAUAAGCUCCGGCUAACUCCGUG
rnacentral:rRNA from 1 species